rnacentral:ncRNA from 1 species
GAUAUUCAGUGUCUGAUGUUCGUACGACAGUAUCCACCAAAAUUGCAAGAAUAACAUAUGCCCCAAGAUUUUUGACUAUUAUCAAUGAAGUAUAAUAUAAUAUAUUUUCAAAAAAUUGAUUGGAUUAGAUACCCCAGUAAUCCUAGCCGUGAACAAUGAAUACUAGGCGUUGUGCGUAUCAACCUGUGUUGUACUGUAGCUCAUGCAUUAAGUAUCCCGUCUAGGGAGUACGUUCGCAAGAAUAAAACUUAAAGGAAUUACUGGGGCAAAACUCUAACUUGAGUAAGUGCUACAGGCAGAGGCGGACCUACGGCUUA